rnacentral:rRNA from 1 species
AGUGAACGCUGGCGGUAGGCCUAACACAUGCAAGUCGAACGGCAGCACAGUAAGAGCUUGCUCUUACGGGUGGCGAGUGGCGGACGGGUGGGGAAUACAUCGGAAUCUACUUUUUCGUGGGGGAUAACGUAGGGAAACUUACGCUAAUACCGCAUACGACCUACGGGUGAAAGCAGGGGAUCUUCGGACCUUGCGCGAUUGAAUGAGCCGAUGUCGGAUUAGCUAGUUGGCGGGGUAAAGGCCCACCAAGGCAACGAUCCGUAGCUGGUCUGAGAGGAUGAUCAGCCACACUGGAACUGAGACACGGUCCAGACUCCUACGGGAGGCAGCAGUGGGGAAUAUUGGACAAUGGGCGCAAGCCUGAUCCAGCCAUACCGCGUGGGUGAAGAAGGCCUUCGGGUUGUAAAGCCCUUUUGUUGGGAAAGAAAAGCAGCAGGUUAAUACCCCGCUGUUCUGACGGUACCCAAAGAAUAAGCACCGGCUAACUUCGUG